UGGGACGUAUGGAUGAUCGACUAUGCCGUGUGGUGGUCCUUGCAGAUCGUUGAGCUGGCUGCAAGCUAACGCGUUAAGUCGACCGCCUGGGGAGUACGGCCGCAAGGUUAAAACUCAAAUGAAUUGACGGGGGCCCGCACAAGCGGUGGAGCAUGUGGUUUAAUUCGAAGCAACGCGAAGAACCUUACCUGGUCUUGACAUCCUGAGAACUUUCCAGAGAUGGAUUGGUGCCUUCGGGAACUCAGACACAGGUGCUGCAUGGCUGUCGUCAGCUCGUGUCGUGAAAUGUUGGGUUAAGUCCCGUAACGAGCGCAACCCUUGUCCUUAGUUGCCAGCACCUCAUGUGGGCACUCUAAAGAAAAUGGCGGGGAAAAACCGGAAGAAGGGGGGGAAGAACUCCAGUCAUCAUGGCCCUUAACGACAAGGCUACCCCCCUGCUACAAUGGUCGGAACCAAGGGUUGCCAACCCCCGAGGUGGAGCUAAUCCCAUAAAACCGAUCCUAAUCCGGAUCGCAAUCCGCAACUCGACUGCCUGAAAUCCGAAUCCCUAGUAAUCCUGAAUCAAAAUGGCUCGGUGAAUACGUUCCCGGGCCUUGGACACACCGGCCGUCACACCAUGGGAAUUGGUUGCUCCAGAAAUAACUUAUCUAACCGUCCGGGAGACCGCUACCCCCGAUUGGAUCCAGGAUUGGGGUGAAAUUCUUACAAGGGGAACCAAAAGUUUGUGUUUUCGGUGU
rnacentral:rRNA from 1 species